rnacentral:lncRNA from 1 species
CGACUCUNGNUCAUAUCCUUACCACCAUCCUUGCGCCUGUCCUAUUCCUUGCGAUUCUCCUGCUCGUGUCCUUGGAAUGUAAAAUGGCAAGGCAUAAUGUCAGUGUAUGCACCUGCAUGAUGGCCACUUACUGCCGGUGCCGUCUAGUCCCCCUUUUCCUGCUUUCCCCUGCUUGCCUGCGAAUGAAUGGUGCGCCAUUAUAGAGGAAGAAAGACAGAUUCUUGUUAUGAAGAUGCUAAUUCAUUAGGCUUUACCUUACACUGUCGUCAUUGGAGGAUCAGCGUGAGUAUAAGAAAUGCAUACGCGCUAAACAACAAAUUCAAGAUAAUCUUAUUAGUGCAAUGCGCG